GUUUUGUUCGGAAGCAAAGAUAUCCGUGGAGGCUGGUUCAUUUGUCCUAUUCUGAUAUUCAGGACCAAGAGUUACUGGAUUAUCUUUUGGAUAGGCCCUGAAAGGAGAAGAAAGGCUGAAAUGCCAAUGGACCUCUGUCUAUUCUCUAAUUCACCCGAUCCUAUAGUACCCGUUUUUGGAACGUCAGGAACUCAAGGCUCAACUUCACACAGAACAACUCAAGUGGGUCAAGGAACAAGCAACGUGUAA
rnacentral:rRNA from 1 species